rnacentral:rRNA from 1 species
AUGAGGCAAUUUCUGAAGGCGCAAGAGCUUGAGGCGUUUGCACAAAUUGCUUUCUUCACACAAGGCCAUGGAUUUGAUCAUCGAUGGACGUCACCGACCACCUAUUCUAACUCUGGCAAGUACCCGAUGAUACAUGAUCCCACCAGCUCUUGUGAUGUACCAUGUAAACUACCGUGUGAUCUGCCUUUUUUUGUGAACACGGCCUCUUUGGCACGUCUAUCCAUCCUUUUGUACUCAAUAUCUACCUUGUACAAAUAUUGCAUCCUUUAUUUUACCAUGUAUGAACAUUUACAUCCUUUAAAUGUGUUUACUAUCGUUUUGGUCGCUAUGGAGAUCUGUUGUUACUAUCGUUCUGUAUCCAUUGAUGAUGUCUCCUAUUAUAUGUGA